rnacentral:rRNA from 1 species
ACGCUGGCGGCGUGCUUACCACAUGCAAGUCGAACGGAAAGGCCCUUCGGUGUACUCGAGUGGCGAACGGGUGAGAAACACGUGGGUGAUCUGCCCUGCACUUUGGGAUACGCCUGGGAAACUGGGUCUAAUACCGAAUAGGACCACCCGCUUCAUGGUGUGUGGUGGAAAGCUUUUGCGGUGUGGGAUGGGCCCGACGACUAUCACCUUGUUGGAGGGGUAAUGGCCUACCAAGGCGACGACGGGUAGCCGGCCUGAGAGGGUGACCGGCCACACUGGGACUGAGAUACGGCCCAGACUCCUACGGGAGGCAGCAGUGGGGAGUAUUGCACAAUGGGCGCAAGCCUGAUGCAGCGACGCCGCGUGAGGGAUGACGGCCUUCGGGUUGUAAACCUCUUUCAAUGGGGACGAAGCGCAAGUGACGGUACCUAUAGAAGAAGCACCGGCCAACUACGUGCCAGCAGCCGCGGUAAUACGUAGGGUGCGAGCGUUGUCCGGAAUUACUGGGCGUAAAGAGCUCGUAGGUGGUUUGUCGCGUUGUUCGUGAAAACUCACAGCUUAACUGUGGGCGUGCGGGCGAUACGGGCAGACUAGAGUACUGCAGGGGAGACUGGAAUUCCUGGUGUAGCGGUGGAAUGCGCAGAUAUCAGGAGGAACACCGGUGGCGAAGGCGGGUCUCUGGGCAGUAACUGACGCUGAGGAGCGAAAGCGUGGGGAGCGAACAGGAUUAGAUACCCUGGUAGUCCACGCCGUAAACGGUGGGUACUAGGUGUGGGUUCCUUCCUUGGGAUCCGUGCCGUAGCUAACGCAUUAAGUACCCCGCCUGGGGAGUACGGCCGCAAGGCUAAAACUCAAAGGAAUAGACGGGGGCCCGCACAAGCGGCGGAGCAUGUGGAUUAAUUCGAUGCAACGCGAAGAACCUUACCUGGGUUUGACAUGCACAGGACGCCGGCAGAGAUGUCGGUUCCCUUGUGGCCUGUGUGCAGGUGGUGCAUGGCUGUCGUCAGCUCGUGUCGUGAGAUGUUGGGUUAAGUCCCGCAACGAGCGCAACCCUCGUCCUAUGUUGCCAGCGGGUUAUGCCGGGGACUCGUAGGAGACUGCCGGGGUCAACUCGGAGGAAGGUGGGGAGGACGUCAAGUCAUCAUGCCCCCUAUGUCCAGGGCUUCACACAUGCUACAAUGGCCGGUACAAAGGGCUGCGAUGCCGUGAGGUGGAGCGAAUCCUUUCAAAGCCGGUCUCAGUUCGGAUCGGGGUGUGCAACUCGACCCCGCGAAGUCGGAGUCGCUAGUAGUCGCAGAUCAGCAACGCUGCGGUGAAAAAGUUCCCGGGCCUUGCACUCUCCGCCCGUCA